UUUAACGAUUUAUAUCUAUACUCAGACGGCACAAUUAUCAGAAUUUAAGAUGGCUACCGGCGGGCACGGGCCAGGGGCGGUUAAGCCCCCGGCGGCCCCAGAGGACGGGCCCGCCAAAGCAACGUGGUUGGUUAAACAAAGGGUUGGAGGUCGGGCCUGGAAGACCCUUACUCGGUAAUGAUCCUUCCGCAGGUUCACCUACGGAAA
rnacentral:misc_RNA from 1 species